rnacentral:rRNA from 1 species
GAUGAACGCUAGCUACAGGCUUAACACAUGCAAGUCGAGGGGCAGCAUGUUGGUUGCUUGCAACCAACGAUGGCGACCGGCGCACGGGUGAGUAACGCGUAUCCAACCUGCCCUUGUCCAUCGGAUAACCCGUCGAAAGGCGGACUAACACGAUAUGCAGUUCUCAGCAGGCAUCUAACGAGAACGAAAUGUAAAGGAGAAGGAUGGGGAUGCGUCGGAUUAGCUUGUUGGCGGGGUAACGGCCCACCAAGGCGACGACGAGUAGGGGUUCUGAGAGGAAGGUCCCCCACAAUGGAGCUGAGACACGGUCCAAACGCCUACGAGAGGCGGCAGUGGGGAAUAUUAGUCAAUGGGCGAGGGCCUGAAGCAGCCGAGUAGCGUGCAGGAUGACGGCCCUAUGGGUUGUAAACUGCUUUUAUACGAGGAUAAAGUGAGCCACGUGUGGCUUAUUGACGGUACCGUAUGAAUAAGGACCGGCUAAUUCCGUGCCAGCAGCCGCCGUAAGAC